rnacentral:rRNA from 1 species
CCCUUCGAUGUUCUGGGCUGCACGCGCGCUACAAUGACAAUGUCAGCGAGUUUUAAAUUUAUAUUCGCUUGUGCGAAAGCACUGGCAAAUCUUGUGAAACGUUGUCGUACUAUGGAUUGCUGAUUGCAAUUAUUCGGCAUGAAACAGGAAUACCUAGUAGGUGUGGUUCAUCAGACUGCGCCGAUUACGUCCCUGCCCUUUGUACACACCGCCCGUCGCUCCUACCGAUUGAGUGGUCCGGUGAGGCUUUGGGAUCUGAGCGGAAAGAGCGUUUCGCUGUUUCUGCUCGGAAAACUCAGUCGAACCUUAUCAUUUAGAGGAAGGAGAAGUCGUAACA